rnacentral:tRNA from 1 species
GGAAAGGUGGCUCAGUGAUAGAGCGCUUGCCUUACAUGCAUGAAGCCCUGGGUUUGAUUCCUCCGCACCA